rnacentral:rRNA from 1 species
UCCUAAGGUAGCGAAAUUCCUUGUCGGGUAAGUUCCGACCCGCACGAAUGGCGUAACGAUUUCUCCACUGUCUCCAACAUCACUUCAGCGAAAUUGAAUUCCCCGUGCAGAUGCGGGGUACCCGCGGUUAGACGAAGAGACCCCGUGCACCUUUACUAUAGCUUUACAUUGCUAUUAAAAGUGUGAUGUGCAGGAUAGGUGGGAGACUUUGAAGUUAUGGCGCUAGCUAUAAUGGAGUCAACCUUGAGAUACCACCCUUUACACUUUUGAUAUCUAACUAUGUUUCAUUAUCUGGAACUAGGACAUUGUAUGGUGGGUAGUUUGACUGGGGCGGUCGCCUCCUAAAAAGUAACGGAGGCGUGCGAAGGUAAGCUAGAGCUGGUCGGAAAUCAGCUUGAUAGUAUAAUGGCAUAAGCUUGCCUGACUGCGAGGCUGACAAGCCAAGCAGAGACGAAAGUCGGUCAUAGUGAUCCGGUGAUUCUGUAUGGAAGGGUCAUCGCUCAACGGAUAAAAGGUACGCCGGGGAUAACAGGCUGAUGGUGUUCGAGCGUUCAUAGCGACGACACCGUUUGGCACCUCGAUGUCGACUCAUCACAUCCUGGGGCUGAAGAAGGUCCCAAGGGUUCGGCUGUUCGCCGAUUAAAGUGAUACGUGAGUUGGGUUUAGAACGUCGUGAGACAGUUCGGUUUCUAUCUGCCGUGGGUGAAGGAAAUUUGAGAAGGUCUGACUCUAGUACGAGAGGACCGAGAUGGAUAUACCUCUGGUGUACCAGCUGUUAUGCCAAUAGCAUCGCUGGGUGGCUAUGUAUAGAUGGGAUAAUUGCUGAAAGCAUAUAAGCAAGAAACCCUCUUCAAAAAGAUUUCCCAAUUAAGGCCGUGGAAGACUACCACGUUGAUAGGCUAGGUGUGGAAGCAUGGUAACAUGUGAAGCUAACUAGUACUAAUAGCCUGAUUGAUUUAUUUGCUUUC